UGGACAUCAGUACAAUACAACAAGAGCAUGAUCAACUGCAGACGGAGAUAAGCAGAAUACAACAAGAACAUGCUCGACUACAGGAGGAGAAGAACAAAAUACAACAAGGUGAAUUUGUCUUUAUUA